UUAGCUCAUAUUUGUAUGGAAUGGGAUCGUUUGCGUACGUUUGCCGUUAAGGGCGCUGUUCCAACUGCAUACAAAAUUGGGUUA
rnacentral:pre_miRNA from 1 species